rnacentral:rRNA from 1 species
CCUACGGGUGGCAGCAGUGGGGAAUAUUGGGCAAUGGGCGCAAGCCUGCCCCAGCAACGCCGCGUGAAUGAAGAAGGCUUUCGGGUUGUAAACUUCUUUUCUCAGGGACGAAGCAAGUGACGGUACCUGAGGAAUAAUCCACGGCUAACUAAGUGCCAGCAGCCGCGGUAAUACGUAGGUGGCAAGCGUUAUCCGGAUUUUCUGGGUGGAAAGGGCGUGUAGGCGGGACUGCAAGUCAGAUGUGAAAACCACGGGCUCAACCUGUGGCCUGCAUUGGAAACUGUAAUUCUUGAGUACUGGAGAGGCAGACGGAAUUCCUAGUGUAGCGGUGAAAUGCGUAGAUAUUAGGAGGAACACCAGUGGCGAAGGCGGUCUGCUGGACAGCAACUGACGCUGAGGCGCGAAAGCGUGGGGAGCAAACAGGAUUAGAUACCCUAGUAGUC